ACGCGCAAACACAAUCCACUUCAUAUUCCCGACGACUUUCUCUCCGCCGAACGUGUACAGAAACGCUUAACACCAAAGCGCAGCUGCGGUGAUUUCGCAACCGACCGUUCUUGUUCCCCGGACACACGCCAACAACGAUAUAUCAUCGUAACACAUUUUUUUUUUCCCGUCCGGUUAGAUUGCGCUCCUAGUGUUCCAAAGAAACUACCGGUUUGAAUGCGUGCUUCCGUCCACGCUCUGCAGGGAAAAGUUCUUUUUCUGUUCCGUUCCGAAUUAUCGUUCG